rnacentral:lncRNA from 1 species
AUACAUACAUUCAAACUAUAAGAUCAAUCAAUCAUGUAUUAUCGUGCAUUUAAACUAUAAAAUAAAUCAGCAGAAUCAACAGUGAAUAAUUUUCGUUUCUGGCUCCAUUAGUGACUGGUAAUUAAUUAUGUAUAUUUUCUAAGCUGCCCAAAACACUGUAUUAUUAUUAUUAUUAUUUAGAUUUCAAUUUCAUAACAGAAAUUGAGGUAAGAGAUUCUUACUCAAAUUGAUACCUGAAAUGUUAAACUUGUUGACUGUUCCUACUGGCAGUCCCCGAAUUUUUUGAAUUUUUUUUAGGAGAUUAAAACACACUACAAGUACUUACAAAUAUUUCAAAAAAUCCAAAAUCAGUGUCAGGACCCUUUUUUGCCAAUUUUGGAAUUCUGGCACGGCGGCUCCGCCGUGCUUCGGCGAUGACACUGCCGUCCGCGACGGCAGUUUGCCUCAGGUCAACUGUUUUCGGUCCUUUUAUACCAAAUUCAAUCGG